GGAAUUACAUUGUUUGAUCAUUUUUUUGUUUUUUGAGAGAUAGGUAGUAUACUACCUGGUUUGUUUAUUUAAUUUAGAAAUAAACUUACCUGGAAAUGUGAAUCAACUAGGAUUCGAACUUGGGACCUCGUGUACCAGCCACCAAACCCUUUGCCACUUGCCCUAGGGACGGUCGUUGAUCAUUUUUAUUUUUUUUGAGAGAGAGGAAUGUAGCAUGCUAUCUACUUUGUUUAUCUUUUUUACAAAUAAACUUAGGUAGAAAUGUGAAACAAUAGAUUCUAAACAUGGGAUCUCAGAUACCAACCACUAAAUCUUUUGUCACUUGCGCUAAGGACGGACAGUAUUGAUCGAAUAUUUUAUUAUUAUUGUGAUAGUAUAUAUCUGUGUGUGGUAUGUGUGCGUGUGUGUGUGAGAGAGAGAGAGAGAGAGAGGUGGUUGUUGAUUA
rnacentral:lncRNA from 1 species